AAGUCGUAACAAGGUUUCCGUAGGUGAACCUGCGGAAGGAUCAUUACUGAGUGAGGGCCCUCUGGGUCCAACCUCCCACCCGUGUUUAUUGUACCUUGUUGCUUCGGUGCGCCCGCCUCACGGCCGCCGGGGGGCUUCUGCCCCCGGGUCCGCGCGCACCGGAGACACCAUUGAACUCUGUCUGAAGAUUGCAGUCUGAGCAUAAACUAAAUAUGUUAAAACUUUCAACAACGGAUCUCUUGGUUCCGGCAUCGAUGAAGAACGCAGCGAAAUGCGAUAACUAAUGUGAAUUGCAGAAUUCAGUGAAUCAUCGAGUCUUUGAACGCACAUUGCGCCCCCUGGUAUUCCGGGGGGCAUGCCUGUCCGAGCGUCAUUGCUGCCCUCAAGCACGGCUUGUGUGUUGGGCUCCGUCCCCCCGGGGACGGGUCCGAAAGGCAGCGGCGGCACCGAGUCCGGUCCUCGAGCGUAUGGGGCUUUGUCACCCGCUCUGUAGGCCCGGCCGGCGCCAGCCGACAACCAAUCAUCCUUUUCAGGUUGACCUCGGAUCAGGUAGGGAUACCCGCUGAACUUAAGCAUAUCAAUAAGCGGAGGAAAAGAAACCAACAGGGAUUGCCUCAGUAACGGCGAGUGAAGCGGCAAGAGCUCAAAUUUGAAAGCUGGCUCCUUCGGGGUCCGCAUUGUAAUUUGCAGAGGAUGUUUCGGGAGCAGCCCCCAUCUAAGUGUCCUGGAACGGACCGUCAUAGAGGGUGAGAAUCCCGUAUGGGAUGGGGUGUCUGCGCCCAUGUGAAACUCCUUCGACGAGUCGAGUUGUUUGGGAAUGCAGCUCUAAAUGGGUGGUAAAUUUCAUCUAAAGCUAAAUAUUGGCCGGAGACCGAUAGCGCACAAGUAGAGUGAUCGAAAGAUGAAAAGCACUUUGAAAAGAGAGUUAAAAAGCACGUGAAAUUGUUGAAAGGGAAGCGCUUGCGAUCAGACUCGCCUUGGGGGUUCAGCCGGCAUUCGUGCCGGUGUACUUCCCCCAGGGCGGGCCAGCGUCGGUUUGGGUGGCCGGUCAAAGGCCCUUGGAAUGUAACGCCUCUCGGGGCGUCUUAUAGCCAAGGGUGCCAUGCGGCCUACCUGGACCGAGGAACGCGCUUCGGCUCGGACGCUGGCAUAAUGGUCGUAAGCGACC
rnacentral:rRNA from 1 species